UGUCUCAUAAUGCACACUCUCUGAGAGGAGUUACAUGCUGCUACUGUGCUGUGGCAAAUGGCAUUUAGACCAGGAGUUUCUAAAAAGCAAAGAAAACGUGGAUUUGUCACGCUGCUGGUACCCGCGGGCAUGCCAUCAGCCCGGACGAUAACCAGGAUUUCUCACAGGACCAGAGCUGGUGAAGGACGCAAGGGAGAGCAGCUGCCUCGUACGGGGUGGGUGCGGUGUCAGGAGAGCUGGGACGCUUUGUCGGAAACUUUCAUGGCAUUUCUCGACAGAGGAGAAAGCAAGGAGAGUCUCACUGCCUAAGAGUGAAGUCAAUUGAGGCUGGCAAAGCAAAUUCAUCUCCUUCAGAUAAGAGAGUUGCACUGAAGCCUUCGUCCUGAAGUUACACCGUCCCCUAGCCACUUUCAUGCAUGCUCAAACAUCAUUUGGGGCUCCUCCGGAUGAAGUGUUUGACUCCAGCUGCCAACCUCAGCUGAACUUCAGAAAAAGAGGGAAGUACAUCAGCUAGUGUUGGGGAUGAACAACCAAGUGAUAACGCAGGCUGCUGUGUGAUUCCCGCUUAUGCCACUGGAGGGGCUGAAGCAAUCAGACUUGUCUUGCUUCAUUUUAUUGCUUUAAAUUUACGCUGUAGCCCACCAGCAUUAGCAGAGAAGCUGGAGCUAGAGAUGAUCACACAGACGAGCUUGUCCUCUCUCUUUCACUGACUUUUAUCUUCUGUUCAAAAAGUUGCAUAGCUGUGAGCUGCAUAAAGAUACUGACUUCACAUUUUUUUUCACUGAAAUCCCUGUACCUGCCUCUGAUCAGCUUAAGAAGUUGUAAGCUUGCACAGAACUGUGAGAGAUCUGUGCAGAAGUUUUUCCCUUGGUUAAUACUGACUGACCAGUGCAGAAGUAUGUAUUUGUGUAUGUAUUUAAAUGUCAGCUGUUCUGAUCUCCGUCUUGAAGCUUAUAUUGCUUACUGCAAAACCUCACAAGCUUUCUGACAAUUCUUUGUGUAGCAGAACAAGCCCUCUAUGCAAAAAAUAACAGUCAAGCAGUGGGUCAGGUUGGUGUUACUCUCAGCUGUAUGCAUCAGUAGGUGCUGAGGGACUGAGGGGCAGAGAUGUGUACGUACCUCAUGCUUGGCUAUUUUCCCCUGCAGAUAAUGCAUAGAUAGAGUUAGUCUUUUCCCCUGGAGCUUUAGAAAGCCCUACCCAAGAAAAAUUAGCUGUGUAAAAGCAUGUGUCGUGCUUAACUCUUCAAGCAGAGGGAGUGCGUGAUUAACUGUGCUAGCAGAGGAUGAUGCUGCACUAGAGGAUGUGGUGAGAGAUGCAGAGUUAAAACAGCACAAAAAUAAGAACCAUGGGUCAGAACUCAUUCUGGUAGGAGAAAAGCAAUUGGAUAGGAACUGCCAUCCAUUCACAUAAAAGAGUAUCUGUUGUACUUUAAAUUCAAGUCACAGCAGGACUCAGAACUGUGCUACUGGGAAAGAGAGAGCAUCUCAACAAGAUACUGAAACGUGGAAGAAGAUGGAACAUUUAUGAAAUACUGAGAAGUUGUGUGUGAUUUAUACCAUAUCUUUUAAGCCACAAACCUUUGUUCCUCAGCUAGGCAUUUGUCCUGCCUUGGGUUCCUCAAUAGCGAGGGGGUAGAGGAGAACUCCUGCUUGGUGUCAUUCCUUACAUCUCAAAAGGUAGCAAAGCAUCACUGUGUGUUCAUACAGUGCCCACGAGCAAUACUGUAGGUCUUUGUGAAAAUUAUAACACAAAGAAUGAUGAAAGAAAUGGGAUACACCACAUUUGCCAAAUCUGGUAAUAUUGUUCUCUUUCAUAUAUUCAAUAAUAAUUAAAAAAGAGCCAUGAAAGAUUCAGUUUUAGCUAAUCUGCUAAUGAAAAAGAAAUAAUAUAUCUGUUCUUCUGGUGUGUUUCAAUUACAGCAAUGACAACCAUCAAUAAAAACAGUAAAAUAAGUGAGUAUGAGUUGCAAUGUGUGACUACAGGGGUGAAUGUGAAAGCGGUUAGGGAAGUAGGGGGUGUUGCUGGUCAUCCGUAGGAGCAAAGACACUCUCCAGUUGUUACUUGGACACCAGCCAUC